ACGUCCAGCAUGAGAUUUCACCCAAUUCUAAGAACAUGCCGAUGGUCAGAUAGAAGCUAUAUAAUUUUCUCGUUUGAGUGAUAAAAAUAUAAAAUAAGUUUUCAUACUCAGGACAGUGUUUCAGGGGGUGUGGCACUGAGAGUCUGUGACCCCCUCAAAAUUUUCGAAAACUACAAGAAAAUUACCAGUGUGGAACGUGGCUGGAUAACUAAGAAAGGGGGAUAAUCAAAUGUGGGGCACGGACACUUGAUGCGGGUGCCCUGUUAUGACAGACACAUCUCUUGCAUUGGUGAGACAACACUUCCUAGAAAUAGGCGGGCUUCCCAUACAGAUCUCGUAAUGGUACCAUGAUGCAAUAAACUUCUUCCCAUUUGCAUAGAUCAUUGUAUCACAAAUAACAAAUUUCCCAUUUCAACCAUCAUAGCCCAAAAUAAAAAUUACAAGAAUGUU